AUUCCAGACACAAUAUCUUACUAGAGAAGUUUUAAUUUUGCUUUUUUUCAGAUAUCUCAGGGAUUCACUGCUCUGGAAUCAAUGUUUACAUUAAUUUUUUGGCUUAAUAACUCCUGCACCUGUGAGCAAUGAAAAUUUGCACUGCCUGUUGGUACAUGGUUUAUAGGCUUGGGAUUUGGAUUUUUUUUUUAACUGUAGACUUUUAUCUUUCUAUUCAGACCCCAUAAUAGAGAUAAACGUUCUGUGCCUUACCAUUUACUUUUCUCAGCCUGUGGCAAGAAGUUUGAAGUUUGUUGGGACACCUUUUCAUCAAGGAGGACUUGGCAGAAUCUAGUGCUGGUCCUGGAGCUAAGUCUUGAGAAGACCUGGAGGCUUCCACUUCUGCGCUUUUGGAAAUUCUGAGCUUCCGUGUUAGAAGAGUUGCUACCCUUCUGGAGAUACUACAUGGAAAGACCUCAUGAAGAGGCCAUAUGGAAAGGGAGAAGCCUUGUCCAACCAUCUCCACCAAGGUCCCAGGCAUAUGAGAGAGCCAACUUGGACAGUCUGGUCCUGUUGAGCCCCCAGAUGCCCACAGUCUCAGUUGACAACAUGUGGAGCAGAAGAACUGCCCAGAUGAGCCCAGCCAACCCAGUGAAUCAUGAGAAUAAGGAAAUGGUUUUUGCUUAAAGCUUUUGCUUUGAAGUGGUUCCUUAUGCAGCAGUAGAUAUCUGAAACAGGGGGCAUUGAUUAGGGACAUCAAGGCCCUAGGGGAUGGCAGAACUCCCAGAUGGAAGAAAGCUGGAUGUCUGAGUCAUGGCAAGGAGAGCCAUUCACCAACUAGGAAACCACGUAGAAAUAUUCCACAGGAGAAAUAAACUUUUGUUGUAUUUGAGC
rnacentral:lncRNA from 1 species